AGUCCCCUGGGCUUCCUGCAGGGACCUGGAUUCUUAGUAUUUCAGGCUGCUGUCCCUUUUUUUUUUUCAUUUCCUUUUUGUUUUUGUUGUUGAUGUGACCGCGUGUCCACAACCCUGGGAUUCCCUCGCCCUCAGAUUCCAGAAUCCAAUUUCUUGGAUUUCAGUGUUUUUAAGGUGGGAGGUCUCGCUAUGCUUCCCAGGCUGGACUCAAAUUCCUGGGCUCAAGUGAUUCCCCCGCCUCAGCCUCCUGAGUAGCUGGGACUACAGAUAUGGCAUGUCAGUCUGGUGGUCUAGCCAGAGGAAGACUCCUGGAGCUGGUGAACUGUGCAUGGAUAUGCAGUCACGGGCAGCCCACCUCCUACUCCUCACCCUCCCUGUGCCUGUGAGGGUCUGCACUCACCCUGUCAUCUCCACCUUUGGGAUCUGGCCAGCCAGCUCGAUCAGCUUGUCCCAAGGAUUGCUUGGGCUACACCUUAGACUGAGACAUCUCAUAAUUUGGAGCUAGACUUGCUGCUCAGGAGUGUGGAGCCUGCAGGAAACAAUGGCAGGAGAUCUGGGCUUUUUCUGGCUGCAGGCCUGACUGCAGCAGAGAAGGUAACAGAGAAGGAAAGAGAGAGGAAGAAAGAGUGAGAGAGAGAGACUGGCUUCUCCUCCAUUUCUCAAGCAAGCCUUGCCAGCACCGCCCACCGUGGAGCUGCGGCUGGUCCUGGGGCGAAUGCAGAGCUGAGCAGCAUACAGCUCCUGCUCUCAAAGACCUGGCAACUCUGACAUGGAAGUAAGGCUUGCCCAAGAGAGGAGAGUGACUAAGGGCUGCACUGCUGGAUGCCUCCAGACCCUUCGAUAAGGGGUCUGGGAGGGCAGGGGGCAGACAGUGAGGGCAGGAUGGUAGAAAAUGUGUUGACUCAGUGCCAGACCCUGAACUA
rnacentral:lncRNA from 1 species